GCAUAAUCAAUGUUUAAUUUUUAUUGAACUAAUUGGCCAAAAUUGAUACAUUAAUAAUCUAAUAAUACUACUAGAGAAAAGUUGAUAUCUUUUAAAAUGGAUAUCUUAAAAAUAUCUUUCAUCAUGUAUAUUUCUGUUAUGUAUUUCGUGUUCCUGUUGAAACAUUUCUAAUGACAUUUCUCUUUCUCUUGAAUCGCUUUUAAAAUCACAGCCUUAAAAUCUUUCAAAUUCUUCCUCCCUCAUUCUAUUUUCAGGGUUACUGGUCCUGAAUUCUCCAUGAGCCCCAUAAGUAUGAACUUACAGCCCUAUAAGAUUAAGUUAUCGCUGUUACCCUAGGACUUCCAUUUAUUACACUUUUUGGUUUGUUCCCCUCUUUUAUGGAUUCCAUAUUUUUCUCUUUCUUGGCUUAUGCUUUUGUUUUGUUAGAGCACAACUUCAAAUAACUUCGAAGAAGAACUGUGAGAGUUGAAAAUUCCAAGUCCCUGUAUGUCUGAAAAUGGUUUUAUUCUGCCACUCACCCUUUGGUGAUAGUUUCACUGGGUAUAAAAAUGCAUGGCUAAAAGACUUUCAAAGCUAUUUCUCCAGCAUCUCCUGAUAUCUAAUGUGCUGAUGCAGAAUAUGAUGCCUAUCCAAUUUUACUUCCUCUGUAGGCAACCUUUUAAAAAAUGUUACUCCCUUCACUCCCUGCCUCAUUCUUUAUUUCUGAUGUUCUGACUCUUUUUUUUUUUUUCCAUUUGCCAGAGUGUGAUUUUCCUAUUCAUUUUCCUUAUAGUCUGAAAAUGUGUGUGCGUCAGCUUUGGAGUAUUCUCCUGUGUUGUCUGGCAAUGUGUGUACUAACUUUGGAGUAUCCUCCUGUGUUGUCUGACAAUGUGUGUACUAACUUUGGAAUAUCCUCCUGUGUUGUUUGAUGCUGUUUUGCCUGAUUUUUCUCUCAUUUAGGAAUUCCUUUUAGUCUAAUGUUGUAAGUAGACUUUUUAUUUGAAUAUUAUCUUUUCUGUCGUAUUUACAAUGAAAAAAAUUCUCUUUCUGCUUUGCUCCCUGCCAUUUUUCUUCAUUUUUAGCCCCUGGUCUUUCUAUUGACAUUUUUAACUCCCAACAAUCAUAUUUUUUAUUUCCAAAAGCUUUGGAUUUUCCUUUCCUCAUAUUUUUGUUUUAAGGGUGGAGUGACUUUUUGAAAUAGUAGUUAUAGGCUCUAGGGUUAAGAGAAUAAAAAUCCCAACAGGGUCCUGCCCUCCACCCUGAGGAACUUGACAAGCUUCUUCUAAAAUUUAUAUAUAUAUAAAACAAAGCCCAAGACUAGCCUGAAGAAAAAGUAUAAGGUGGGAAAAUUUGCUUUGCCAGAUAUUAACACAUCCUAUAAAACCACAAUAAUUAAGGUAGUAUUGAUGUAGAAAUAGACAAAUUGGGUAAAGGACAAGAGAGAGAGAGCCCAGAAACAUACCCAUGUAUAUAUGAACACUUCACAUACAAAGACACCAUUAAAAUUUUCUUGAGAAGUGAUAGACUUAAUAAAUAGUUCUAGGACUAUCAAAUAUGCAUAAUAGAAAAAAGAAAUUGAUCUUCUAUCUGAAGUACACACACACACACACUUGCUUUCACUCCAUCUCCACAGUUCCUAUGUUCUCAUGUGAAUUAUCAUUUGAGAUUUUUCCAGAUAUUAAUUUUUAUAAAUUUAUGUACCAAAAUUAUUUGUAUUUAUAGUACAAAACUGUCAUGAAUUCUUCAUCUACUCCUUGUUUAUUUUUAAAAAAGUGAUUAUUUCAGUAAAUAUGUAUGGUAAAUAAACUUUAUGAUUUUCUAAAUGUCAGAAAAAUGUUUAAUUUGUUCUCCCACUUGAAUGUAAUUUGAAUAGAUAUGAAAUUUUAGGUAAAAUAUUAUUUUCUCAGAUGUUUGAAGAUAUUACUUGACUUUUUUUCUUUCAGUAAAUUAUUGAGAAUCUUGAAUCCAAUUUUAGUCUUGUUAUUUUGUAGAUAAACUAUUUUUUUCUGUCUGAAAACUUUACAGUAUUUUUUUUCACUUUAUACUCAGUUUUACUAAAGUUUUACAUAAUAUAUUUAAAGUCAUCUUGUUUUUCUAGGAAACUUACCGGGUCCUUUCAAUAUAAAUGAUCAUCUCUAGGAAGUUUUCCUACUAAAAUAAUUUAUUUCCUCUACUCUAUUGCCUGCAUUUUUUCCAUCUAGAAAUCCUAUUAGAUGAAAUUUGGAACAACUGAAUCUUGACUCCACAUCUCAAUUGCUUUUUUUUCAUACUUGUGUUUAUUGUUUUUUCAAGUUGUAUUCUGCCCAAAUUCUUCCUCUCCAUUUUCUACAUGAUUAAAUUUCUCUUCAGCCAUUUCAUAUUGUUUGCCAGCCUACCUACUAAUUAGUUUUGUGUACAGAAUUUUAAUUUUGGAGGUUUCUAUUUGGUUCCUUUUUUGCAGACCUUAAUUAUACAAAUUCUAAAAUCUCUUUUUGUUGCCUGAAUAAAUUGUACCUUAGUGUUAGUUUUUGUGUUUGAGAUUGACACCUGUCAAAUGACACCUGUCAAUUGUAUCUUUUCCUUUGUGUUCAGCAGGUUCCACAUCUCUGCCUAUUUUUUCAAAUGUAACUUGGGAGUGGGAUUUGGGAGGCCACCAUGCUAAUUAAUGCUUUAUCUUUUGCAGUAAAGAAGCUAUACUGUAAACUUGAAUUACAUCCUUGACACAAAACUUAGAAGACCUUACAUGUAGAUAUGUGAAACUCUACUGUCCAAAGGGAGUCUGGAAAUUAUAUGUUUUAAAAAAUAUCCAAAAUACUGAUUUUUUUCCCCAUGCUGGGAAAAUGGCACAGAAAUGAAGUUCCCAGAGACUAGGAGAGGCAAUGAUCAGGACGGACUUCCAAGAAGAAAUGCAGCGGCCUUUGGCCAAAGGUCUAUCUUUUAUUUAAGACCUUAACAUACUUUAAUACCUCAUUUGGAUAUUAUAUUGAAUUUCCCAUACCAGGAAUGUAGCAUGGGGCAAAACUGAACUUUGGUAACAGGGCCCUGAGAACCUGACUGUCUCCCACUCCCUGCCCUAGCAUCAUCUGUGUUUUCCAAGACGUAAGAAACAGCAGAAAUGAAAUGGAUGCUAUAGCUGAACAUCACAAAUUGUGGUCCUGCCUGAAUACAAUUAUUUCUCUUAGCCCAGUUUCCCAGAGCAUACUUGUAGGCCUCAUUUCUGUGCUCACAUAUUCUGCUGGGACUGCAGACCCUAAAGAGUGUGAAAAGAACAUAGGCAGUGUCAGGAGCAUGAAAAGCCAUUCACCACAUUGAUGCCUCUCUCUUGUAAUACGGUCUUUCCCCCAGGAUAGCAUCUAAUUGCUGCUUGAACGAACUCACUGUCUUUACCUCAACAGCCUUGCCCAGUAGGCCAUAGCAAACAUUUAUUAUUCUUUGAGUGACAAAGCUCUUCCCAUCUGUCUUUUCUGAAUUUGUUUUUUUUGAACUUCCCCUUCUGCCGCCACUCUUGUCAUUGAGGCAAUAUCAAAAGUAGCAACAUGCAUUGAUAUUAUCCACUCGGCUAAAGAUCUUGUNNNNNNNNNNNNNNNNNNNNNNNNNNNNNNNNNNNNNNNNNNNNNNNNNNNNNNNNNNNNNNNNNNNNNNNNNNNNNNNNNNNNNNNNNNNNNNNNNNNAGCAACAUGCAUUGAUAUUAUCCACUCGGCUAAAGAUCUUGUGUACUUCAGUGAUACCCCCCUUCAAUGUCUUUUUUGAAGUUGGAAAGAUGGAGGAUUUUUUUUUUAACCUUUCAGUAUCUUGUACAAUUUUCUCAGGAAAUCAGCAUGAGAGAAAAUAUUUGCUAACAUCUGACUUCCCUUCAACCAAACCCACUUGCUCUGGAAAAACUGCCAGAGAAACACAUUUCCAGAAGGUUCUUUUUUGGAGACAAAAUGGUUGUCGUAUUUCCUUGACUAUUUCUUGAUGUGCUCAGAGGAAAGGAAGGAAAAUGUCAAGUGUUUAUUUUGAUGAUUCAAGGAAGGAGCUGAGGCAAGAGCAAAGGAACCUUGAAAAAUAAUGUUUCCACCCAAAAGGGAUAGUUGCAAUUUAUAUGGAGCAGCUAUAAUAGACCAGACCUAUUAUAAUGUCUCAUAUGCUCACUGUAUGAGCAUUCUCAUCGUUUUCCUUUUAUAGGUGAGGAAUAGAGGCCACAAAAUAGAAGUAAUAAUAAGAGGAGUGUAUACCAUUUAUUGAACAUUCAAAACGUGCCAGGUGUCUGCUUCACUCUGUUCAUGUAGAUCUUGCCUAAUCCUUGCAAACAACCCAUGGCAUAGUACCUUAUGGUACCUAGGGCUAUCUGGCUCUGAUGUCCCCAUGCUACCAUUUUCCUGUCUGAUUGCUCUGACAAUUAUUAAGUCCUUUACAUGCACUUUCAUUGCCCGAUUUCCACUGACUUCCUAAAUCCUUCCCCCUUUUCAAGAUAAACUGAGCAAAACCUAUAAUUUCAGAAGGCCUUGCUGUCCAUUGUCUCACCUAAGUCAGAGAGGUUGGUCAAAUAUCAACUUCAAGCUCUAAAUUUUUUUUUUUUAAUAAAUAGAUAACAACAAAAGUCAACCAUGAUGGCUAUAUCCCCAUCUCGGGACAAGGUGCAUAAUCCUUGCUGGCCAAUUAGAAUCCUCCUUCUUCCCUGGCUCAGUGAUAGGUUCAGGGGUGGGCUUGUGACCCAAAGCUAAUCAGGGCCCUCUACAGAGCCCUCUACAGAGCCCUCCACAGAGCCCACUGUUCUGUAGAGCCAACAGGGGGGCAAUAAUCCUUUAAUCUGUUUUGUUUUUUUUUUUAAAGUUCAGUGAAUAUGGACAUGGGGCAGGGAGUUGCCAUCUUCUUUGUCACCUAGAGAAAGUCUGUCUUCAGAUUAAAAGUGACAUGGAAUAAAGCAGAGUUGAAAUAUGGGAGAAACAAAAACAUUUAGCAGUAUCUUUUAAGCUUUUAGAUCCAGCUGUAUCUAAAGCAGUUCCAUGCUUGGACUUUCUAGUUGUAACAGCAAAUAAAUAUUCCUUCGGACUUCCCUGGUGACCCAGCGGUCUGCACCCACAAUGCCAGGGGCCUGAGUUCAAUCCCUGGUCAGGGAACUAAAGCCUGCAUGCCACAACUAAGACCUGGUGCAGCCAAACCGAUUUAAAAAAAAUAUUUCUUCUUAUUUAAGUCAUUUGAGUGGCCUUUCUGCCACUUGUGACCAGUGGUGUGCUGGGAAAAAAGAAAGAGAGAGGAAGAAGGAGAAGGAGAGGGGGAGAGAGAGAGAGAGGAGACUUGAUUUUUUUGCGUUUGCCAGUUACCAUGGUGUAAAUGCUCCCAUUGUGUCAGAUUUUAAGCUGCCAAGGUUUAACAAGCAGCUUGCAAAUCUCUGAAUAUCUAACAAUUGGCUUUUGUGAGCUUGUACCAGGACACCACUGC
rnacentral:lncRNA from 1 species